rfam:Schistosoma mattheei strain Denwood, Zambia genome assembly, scaffold: SMTD_scaffold0015710
GUCUAACUGAAGGGUCCCAAGUAGAACGAAACGCGCGUCCUAAAC